UGGGGAAUUUUGGACAAUGGGCGCAAGCCUGAUCCAGCCAUGCCGCGUGCGGGAAGAAGGCCUUCGGGUUGUAAACCGCUUUUGUCAGGGAAGAAAAGCCUUGGGUUAAUACCCUGGGGUGAUGACGGUACCUGAAGAAUAAGCACCGGCUAACUACGUGCCAGCAGCCGCGGUAAUACGUAGGGUGCAAGCGUUAAUCGGAAUUACUGGGCGUAAAGCGUGCGCAGGCGGUUGUGCAAGACAGGUGUGAAAUCCCCGGGCUUAACCUGGGAACUGCACUUGUGACUGCACGGCUUGAGUGCGGCAGAGGGGGAUGGAAUUCCGCGUGUAGCAGUGAAAUGCGUAGAUAUGCGGAGGAACACCGAUGGCGAAGGCAAUCCCCUGGGCCUGCACUGACGCU
rnacentral:rRNA from 1 species